GAUGAACGCUGGCGGCGUGCCUAAUACAUGCAAGUCGAGCGAACAGACGAGGAGCUUGCUCCUCUGACGUUAGCGGCGGACGGGUGAGUAACACGUGUAUAACCUACCUAUAAGACUGGUAUAACUUCGGGAAACCGGAGCUAAUACCGUAUAAUAUAUUGAACCGCAUGGUUCAAUAGUGAAAGACGGUUUUGCUGUCACUUAUAGAUGGAUCCGCGCCGCAUUAGCUAGUUGGUAAGGUAACGGCUUACCAAGGCAACGAUGCGUAGCCGACCUGAGAGGGGGAUCGGCCACACUGGAACUGAGACACGGUCCAGACUCCUACGGGAGGCAGCAGUAGGGAAUCUUCCGCAAUGGGCGAAAGCUUGACGGAGCAACGCCGCGUGAGUGAUGAAGGUCUUCGGAUCGUAAAACUCUGUUAUUAGGGAAGAACAAAUGUGUAAGUAACUAUGCACGUAUUGACGGUACCUAAUAAGAAAGCAACGGCUAACUACGUG
rnacentral:rRNA from 1 species